AUGUCUUCAGUUUGCCAGUAAUUCCUAGAGGAGCCCAACUCGCUGGUCUCUUUCCAAUUUAUAGCUUUCCACCCUUCCUAUACAUGUUAAAUACCACCCAUUUUAAUCCAAAUUUUAUUAAUCUCGUUUUCCUUUAAUUUUAAGACCAAAUUAUAUCUAUUUUUGCUUUCACUUCCAGAUGGACCUGGAUGAAGACACUGCUGAAAAUUUUUACCAAAUUUGCUAGAAUGUGAAACGCGUAUUAGGUCGACUGUUCACAUCUCAUAUCUGAAACUGAGGAUGAAGCUCCCUGAAACACCGCCACCUCCCACCCACAUGCCGAGAGCUGCCAUGUUAGUGGGAGCAUUUGUAGUGAACCAGCCCAGGUGCCCUGAGACCAUGGGGCACCUGGCUUUCACGGCCAGUUUCUAAGUGAUGCAGCUGUUGGGACCCAGAGCAUGUUCGCAGCGGGGGCAGGACGAUGGGAGGACUGGUGCCUAGUUCAUACAACAUCUAAUUAAGGAAAUUUUCUCCUAUAAGUCUCAGGAGCUGAGUUGAGGCUUCUUCUCCCCAAACCAAGCUUCAGAGGAAUUGGGGUCUUGAGGAUUUUCCAAAGCAUCUUGAAUCUUAUGGCGCCACCUGCUGGAGAGAAAGGAAGUAAGGCGAUUGCAAACUAGCAGCACCCGGGAACCUUCCCAGAGGAGAUCUUCAAGAGUGGGGGGCAAGAGCACGAGAGAGGACGGUUCUGGCCAUUCUCCAUGGAGACCCACAGGCAUCUCUGAACAUUCUGACCUGCCUUCUUGCUUCUAGGAAGACGAGUUCAACUUUGAACUCAACUACCCUGUGCAGAGAGGCUGAUGUCCCUCUUUGUAUGAUCCCAUCUGACCUCGUCCCUGAAAUGGACAAAUUAAAGACAUCCUUGGCUUCCAAGAUCUAUUCAACUUCCCCUUCAUUGAGAAGAGAAACCUGGGAAUGGCUUCGCGGAUGCAAACAAUUGAACUGGAAGCUCCCGGAGGAGAGUGGAAACGACCACGGAAGAGUAUCAGUGGCUCCUCACAUGCAGAAGACCGACAUUCCUUUCAGGCUCUUCCCUGUACGUCUCUCCCUCUACUCCCAUCCCCUCCUCAUUUCCUCCAUCUUUGCACUGGAUGGCGGUUCACAGGCUGGGUUAUUUAUCCAAAGAGGUUACUGUUUGAGAAGCUAGAGUCCUUUCUUGAGAUUUGGCGCUUCUUGCCCUCACAUCCACUCCCUUCUUAAGGAGCCCCAGAGCCAGGGAUUCUGUUCCUGCCCAUGGCCACCCAUUCUGAAAUUCUGUCACUGCCACUAUCAAGAAGUUUCCUCCACAUCAACUGUCAUUCUUUGCGGGUUAGUUCAACACACACAUGCACUGAGAGUUACGCUGUGCUUAGUAGUUGGAGAGCUGUGGAGAAGGUAAAAAUAAUUCUUGCUUCGAGGAAGUGAAAAGCAGGUUGAGGGGAACUAGUGGGUAGAAAGAUGAAGAGAUUCCAAAAUUGAGUUUGUUCCCCUUUUUAAGGUAUUCUCUGUACAAAAACAGGUCACAUGUUUGGGAAAAUUAUGACCAGAGAGAAAUGACUUCAAUAAAAGGCCAUCUGUUCUGGAAUCAGCAGAAGCAUCUGAGUUAAUGUGGGGACCAUUUGUAAUUAAAACCAAGAAAAGAAGAAGUCAGAUU